UUGGAGGGCAAGUCUGGUGCCAGCAGCCGCGGUAAUUCCAGCUCCAAUAGCGUAUAUUAAAGUUGUUGCAGUUAAAAAGCUCGUAGUUGAAUUUCGGGGUCAGUAGGUUGGUCAUGCCACUGGUAUGUACUGGUCUCACUGAUUCCUCCUUCCUGAUGAGCUGUAAUGCCAUUAAUUUGGUGUUGCGGGGAAUCUGGACUGUUACUUUGAAAAAAUUAGAGUGUUUAAAGCAGGCUAACGCCUGAAUACAUUAGCAUGGAAUAAUGAAAUAGGACGUUCGAUCCUAUUUUGUUGGUUUCUAGGAUUGACGUAAUGAUUAAUAGGGAUAGUUGGGGGCAUUAGUAUUCAAUUGUCAGAGGUGAAAUUCUUGGAUUUAUUGAAGACUAACUACUGCGAAAGCAUUUGCCAAGGAUGUUUUCAUUAAUCAAGAACGAAAGUUAGGGGAUCGAAGACGAUCAGAUACCGUCGUAGUCUUAACCAUAAACUAUGCCGACUAGGGAUCGGACGAUGUUAAUUUUUUAAUGACCCGUUCGGCGCCUUACGGGAAAC
rnacentral:rRNA from 1 species